ACUCCUACGGGAGGCAGCAGUGGGGAAUAUUGCACAAUGGGCGCAAGCCUGAUGCAGCCAUGCCGCGUGUAUGAAGAAGGCCUUCGGGUUGUAAAGUACUUUCAGCAGUGAGGAAGGCGGGUACGUUAAUAGCGUGCUUGUUUGACGUUAGCUGCAGAAGAAGCACCGGCUAACUCCGUGCCAGCAGCCGCGGUAAUACGGAGGGUGCGAGCGUUAAUCGGAAUUACUGGGCGUAAAGCGCAUGCAGGUGGUUUGUUAAGUCAGAUGUGAAAGCCCGGGGCUCAACCUCGGAAUUGCAUUUGAAACUGGCAGACUAGAGUACUGUAGAGGGGGGUAGAAUUUCAGGUGUAGCGGUGAAAUGCGUAGAGAUCUGAAGGAAUACCAGUGGCGAAGGCGGCCCCCUGGACAAAGACUGACGCUCAGAUGCGAAAGCGUGGGGAGCAAACAGGAUUAGAUACCCUGGUAGAUAGCG
rnacentral:rRNA from 1 species